GCCUACUGUUUAAUUUUGAGGGUUCGUUUUUACGAAUACUCAAAAGUAGCACUUUAAGCAACGGAAUUUAUUCGUUGGCGCUGUGCAUUAGCACUUUAAGCAACGGAAUUUAUUCGUUGGCGCUGUGUGUUAGCACUUUGAAAACUGCAUAUAUAUAUUUAGUGAUAUGACAUCUAAUUUGUAAUAUAUAAAGCUGAUAACUUUUUAAAAUUAUCGAAGUUGAUAGCUUCUAAUCUAUCAAACCUUUUUAACUGGUCAA
rnacentral:misc_RNA from 1 species